rnacentral:rRNA from 1 species
GGUGGUAAAUGCCAUCUAAAGCUAAAUACCGGCCAGAGACCGAUAGCGCACAAGUAGAGUGAUCGAAAGAUGAAAAGCACUUUGAAAAGAGAGUUAAAAAGUACGUGAAAUUGUUGAAAGGGAAGCGCUUGCAGCCAGACUUGCCCGUGGGUGAUCAACCGUGUCUUAGGCGCGGUGCACUCGCCCGCGGGCAGGCCAGCAUCGGUUCGGGCGGCCGGAUAAAGGCCCCGGGAACGUAGCUCUCUUCGGGGAGUGUUAUAGCCCGGGGCGUCAUGCGGCCAGCCGGGACCGAGGCCCGCGCGUUCGCUAGGAUGCUGGCGUAAUGGCUGCCAGCGACCCGUCUUGAAACACGGACCAAGGAGUCGACCAACCCUGCGAGUGUUUGGGUGUCAAACCCACACGCGUAAUGAAAGUGAACGGAGGUGAGAGGCUUCGGCUGCAUCAUCGACCGAUCCUGAUGUCUUCGGAUGGAUUUGAGUAAGAGCAUGGUUGGUCGGACCCGAAAGAGGGUGAUCUAUGCUUGAAUAGGGUGAAGCCAGAGGAAACUCUGGUGGAGGCUCGCAGCGGUUCUGACGUGCAAAUCGAUCGUCAAAUUUGGGCAUAGGGGCGAAAGACUCAUCGAACCUUCUAGUAGCUGGUUCCUGCCGAAGUUUCCCUCAGGAUAGCAGUAACGUAUUCAGUUUUAUGAGGUAAAGCGAAUGAUUAGAGGCCUGGGGAAAGAAACUUUCUUCACCUAUUCUCAAACUUUAAAUAUGUAAGAAGCCCUUGUUGCUUAAUUGAACGUGGGCAUUUGAAUGUAUCGUUACUAGUGGGCCAUUUUUGGUAAGCAGAACUGGCGAUGCGGGAUGAACCGAACGCGAGGUUAAGGUGCCGGAAUGCACGCUCAUCAGACACCAGAAAGAGUGUUAAUUCAUCCAGACAGUCGGACGGUGGCCAUGGAAGUCGGAAUCCGCUAAGAAGUGUGUAACAACUUACCGACCGAAUGAAUUAGCCUCGAAAAUGGAUGGCGCUCAAGCGUGCUACCCAUACCUCGCCGCCCGGGUAGAAACGACGCCCGGGCGAGUAGGCAGGCGUGGAGGUCCGUGACGAAGCCUUGGGGGUGACCCCGGGUCGAACGGCCUCUAGUGCAGAUCUUGGUUGUAGUAGCAAAUACUCGAGAGGGAACCUCGAGGACUAAAGUGGGGAAGGGUUCCAUGUGAACAGCAGUUGGACAUGGGUUAGCCGAUCCUAAGAGAUAGGGAAACUCCGUUUUAACGUGCGCACUUGUGCGCCGCUAUCGAAAGGGUAGCCGGUUAAUAUUCCGGCGCCUGGAUGUGGAUUCUCCACGGCAACGUAACUGAACGCGGAGACGUCGGCGGGAGCCCCGGGAAGAGUUCUCUUUUCUUCUUAACGGUCUACCACCCUGAAAUCGGUUUAUCCGGAGCUAGGGUCCAACGGCCGGCAGAGCGCCGUACCUUUACGACGUCCGGUAUGCUCCCGACGAACCUU